UACGUAGGAGGCAAGCGUUGUCCGGAAUCAUUGGGCGUAAAGAGCGUGUAGGCGGCCAGACAGGUCCGUUGUGAAAACUCGAGGCUCAACCUCGAGACGCCGAUGGAAACCGUCUGGCUAGAGUCCGGAAGAGGAGAGUGGAAUUCCUGGUGUAGCGGUGAAAUGCGCAGAUAUCAGGAAGAACACCGGUGGCGAAGGCGGGUCUCUGGGCAACAACUGACGCUGAGGAGCGAAAGCGUGGGGAGCGAACAGG
rnacentral:rRNA from 1 species